rnacentral:rRNA from 1 species
UACGUAGGGGGCUAGCGUUGUCCGGAAUCAUUGGGCGUAAAGCGCGUGUAGGCGGUCCGGUAAGUCCGCUGUGAAAGUCGGGGGCUCAACCCUCGAAUGCCGGUGGAUACUGUCGGGCUAGAGUUCGGCAGAGGGAAGCGGAAUUUCUGGUGUAGCGGUGAAAUGCGUAGAUAUCAGAAGGAACAUCAGUGGCGAAAGCGGCUUCCUGGACCAGAACUGACGAUCAGGCACGAAAGCGUGGGGAGCAAACAGG